rnacentral:rRNA from 1 species
GACGUAGGGCGCGAGCGUUGUCCGGAUUUAUUGGGCGUAAAGAGCUCGUAGGCGGCUUGUUGCGUCAGCUGUGAAAACCCGCAGCUCAACUGUGGGCUUGCAGCUGAUACGGGCAGGCUUGAGUUCGGUAGGGGAGACUGGAAUUCCUGGUGUAGCGGUGAAAUGCGCAGAUAUCAGGAGGAACACCGGUGGCGAAGGCGGGUCUCUGGGCCGAUACUGACGCUAAGGAGCGAAAGCGUGGGGAGCGAACAGG